rnacentral:rRNA from 1 species
GGAUUAGAUACCCUGGUAGUCUACGCCGUAAACGAUGUGCACUUGAUGGUGGUACCGUCCGGUAUCACUGUCGGAGCUAACGCAUUAAGUGCACCGCCUGGGGAGUACGCCGGCAACGGUUAAACUCAAAGGAAUUGACGGGGGCCCGCACAAGCGGUGGAGCAUGUGGUUUAAUUCGAUGAUACGCGAGGAACCUUACCAGGGUUUGACAUAUAGGUGACGUUUAUAGAGAUAUAGAUUUCCUUUCGGGGACGCCUAUACAGGUGUUGCAUGGCUGUCGUCAGCUCGUGUUG